UACGUAGGUGACCAGCGUUGUCCGGAUUUACUGGGCGUAAAGAGCGCGCAGGCGGUCGUUCAAGUCGAGUGUGAAAGCCCCCGGCUCAACUGGGGAGGGUCAUUCGAUACUGAUCGACUUGAAGGCAGGAGAGGGAAGUGGAAUUCCCGGUGUAGUGGUGAAAUGCGUAGAUAUCUGGAGGAACACCGGUGGCGAAGGCGGCAUCCUGGACCGGCAUUGACGCUGAGGCGCGAAAGCGUGGGGAGCAAACAGG
rnacentral:rRNA from 1 species